UUGGAGGGCAAGUCUGGUGCCAGCAGCCGCGGUAAUUCCAGCUCCAAUAGCGUAUAUUAAAGUUGUUGCAGUUAAAAAGCUCGUAGUUGAAUUUCGGGAUCAGAUUGUCGGUCGUGCCUCGGUACGCACUGGCAUUAUUGGUUCCUACCUUCUGAAGAACCGCGAUGUCAUUAAUUUGGUGUCGUGGGGAAUCAGGACUGUUACUUUGAAAAAAUUAGAGUGUUUAAAGCAGGCGCACGCUUGAAUACAUUAGCAUGGAAUAAUGAAAUAGGACGUUUGAUUCUAUUUUGUUGGUUUCUAGGAUCGACGUAAUAAUUAAUAGGGAUAGUUGGGGGCAUUAGUAUUCAAUUGUCAGAGGUGAAAUUCUUGGAUUUAUUGAAGACUAACUACUGCGAAAGCAUUUGCCAAGGAUGUUUUCAUUAAUCAAGAACGAAAGUUAGGGGAUCGAAGACGAUCAGAUACCGUCGUAGUCUUAACCAUAAACUAUGCCGACUAGGGAUCGGAUGAUGUUGAUUUUUUAAUGACUCAUUCGGCGCCUUACGGGAAACCAAAGUGUUUGGGUUC
rnacentral:rRNA from 1 species